GUUUCGAUCUGUGUCGGGCUGAUGAAGUGGAUAUGCGUGUCGAUGCCGCCUGCGGUGAGGAUAAGUCCCUCGCCUGCGAUAGCUUCGGUCGAUGCUCCGAAAACGAGCGAUGGCGUAACGCCGUCCAUAAUGUCGGGGUUGCCUGCCUUGCCGAUGCCGCAGAUCUUUCCGUCCUUUAUGCCGAUAUCAGCCUUGUAGAUGCCCGUUGAGUCGAUAACGACCGCGCUUGUUAUCACCGUGUCGGGACAUUCGCUGUCGGGUACGGAGCAGGACUGUCCCAUACCGUCACG
rnacentral:sRNA from 1 species